UGAGGAAUAUUGCGCAAUGGGGGCAACCCUGACGCAGCAACGCCGCGUGAGUGAGGAAGGUUUUCGGACCGUAAAGCUCUGUCGAGCGGGAAGAAAUGUAUCGUGGCUAAUAUCCAUGAUAUUUGACGGUACCGCUAAAGGAAGCACCGGCUAACUCCGUGCCAGCAGCCGCGGUAAUACGGGGGGUGCAAGCGUUGUUCGGAAUUAUUGGGCGUAAAGAGCGUGUAGGCGGCUGAAUAAGUCAGAUGUGAAAUCCCUGGGCUUAACCCAGGAAGUGCAUUUGAAACUAUUCAGCUUGAGUAGGGGAGAGGAAAGUGGAAUUCCUGGUGUAGAGGUGAAAUUCGUAGAUAUCAGGAGGAACACCAGUGGCGAAGGCGAUUUCCUGGCCUGAUACUGACGCUGAGGCGCGAAAGCGUGGGGAGCAAACA
rnacentral:rRNA from 1 species